rnacentral:tRNA from 1 species
GGAAGGGUGCAGGAGUGGUUGAACUGGCACGCCUGGAACGCGUGUAAAGGAGCGAUCCUUUCGAGGGUUCGAAUCCCUCUCCUUCCGCCA